rnacentral:piRNA from 1 species
UGUAAUGCCUUGCACUGAAGACUCUUCAGGGC